rnacentral:rRNA from 1 species
GACGAACGCUGGCGGCGUGCCUAAUACAUGCAAGUUGAGCGCUGAAGGUUGGUACUUGUACCAACUGGAUGAGCAGCGAACGGGUGAGUAACGCGUGGGGAAUCUGCCUUUGAGCGGGGGACAACAUUUGGAAACGAAUGCUAAUACCGCAUAAAAACUUUAAACACAAGUUUUAAGUUUGAAAGAUGCAAUUGCAUCACUCAAAGAUGAUCCCGCGUUGUAUUAGCUAGUUGGUGAGGUAAAGGCUCACCAAGGCGAUGAUACAUAGCCGACCUGAGAGGGUGAUCGGCCACAUUGGGACUGAGACACGGCCCAAACUCCUACGGGAGGCAGCAGUAGGGAAUCUUCGGCAAUGGACGAAAUUCUGACCGAGCAACGCCGCGUGAGUGAAGAAGGUUUUCGGAUCGUAAAACUCUGUUGGUAGAGAAGAACGUUGGUGAGAGUGGAAAGCUCAUCAAGUGACGGUAACUACCCAGAAAGGGACGGCUAACUACGUG